UUGAUGUCUCACAUUACUCCUGAUGUUUCUGUGGGCAUAAAGAACCCUGAUAUUCACUUUGUGGGAAGUCCAAAGGAAGUGUCCAUGAAUUUGUGUUUCCUGUAAUGAUAACACUAUGAUGAUGCUUAUAGAAGAAAAAAAAAGCCCGUGGUUGUGUUAAUACAGCAGUUGCCAGUUAUGUUCUAGUGAAUGCUAUUGUUAAUUUCAUUUCUCAUUGAAGACCUUCACAUGAUGAAGAUGGCGGUUUAGUGAACUUGUUAACACUGCCUGGAGAUCAGUAGAAGAUCCUCCGAUUUGAUCUAACAUUUUAUUGAGUAACAAUUUUCUGCUUAUAUUUCGGAUGGGUGUGAAAGUGCUGAGUUUCCAACAGUAGGUGCAAAUGGAGAACUGAACUAGAUUAGUUUCUGUGUUCAAAAUUGACGACUCUAAUUUUCAAUAUAUGGAUUAUUAAUUAUCUGGCACUGGCAGAUCCUGGAUGUCACUGACUGCAAGAGGCUUCCUUCUUUGCGAUAGGUAUAAUUAGUUAGAUCGCGAAGGUUUCUCUUUUCUUUUUCUUUUUCUUGAACUUUGUUUUCACUUAGAGCUAUACUUGUAUUCAUUCUGCAGAAACUUUCAGAGUUUUUGUAUUAUAAGUAGAUGCACCUUUAUAAACCAAAGUAUACCUUUUUAGAGUUUGUUCUUGGGCCACUGAGUUUUCAAUUUCAAUCAUUGUCUGCUUGUUUGUUA